rnacentral:tRNA from 1 species
CACAGGGUAGCCUAGUGGUCAUGGCAUCUGCCCGGUAAGCGGAAGGUCGUGGGUUCGAUUCCCAUCCCACAGAUAUUGGA